rfam:Bacteroidetes bacterium RIFOXYA12_FTLL_38_20 rifixya3_full_scaffold_18, whole genome shotgun sequence.
AAAGCGUUUGCCGAAAAGCUUUAACAGAGUAGGCA